ACACCUGGAAACAGAUGCUAAUACCGCAUAACAACUUGGACCGCAUGGUCCGAGUUUGAAAGAUGGCUUCGGCUAUCACUUUUGGAUGGUCCCGCGGCGUAUUAGCUAGAUGGUGAGGUAACGGCUCACCAUGGCAAUGAUACGUAGCCGACCUGAGAGGGUAAUCGGCCACAUUGGGACUGAGACACGGCCCAAACUCCUACGGGAGGCAGCAGUAGGGAAUCUUCCACAAUGGACGAAAGUCUGAUGGAGCAAACGCCGACGUGAGUGAAGAAGGGUUUCGGCUCGUAAAACUCUGUUGUUAAAGAAGAACAUAUCUGAGAGUAACUGUUCAGGUAUUGACGGUAUUUAACCAGAAAGCCACGGCUAACUACGUGCCAGCAGCCGCGGUAAUACGUAGGUGGCAAGCGUUGUCCGGAUUUAUUGGGCGUAAAGCGAGCGCAGGCGGUUUUUUAAGUCUGAUGUGAAAGCCUUCGGCUCAACCGAAGAAGUGCAUCGGAAACUGGGAAACUUGAGUGCAGAAGAGGACAGUGGAACUCCAUGUGUAGCGGUGAAAUGCGUAGAUAUAUGGAAGAACACCAGUGGCGAAGGCGGCUGUCUGGUCUGUAACUGACGCUGAGGCUCGAAAGUAUGGGUAGCAAACAGGAUUAGAUACCCUGGUAGUCCAUACCGUAAACGAUGAAUGCUAAGUGUUGGAGGGUUUCCGCCCUUCAGUGCUGCAGCUAACGCAUUAAGCAUUCCGCCUGGGGAGUACGGCCGCAAGGCUGAAACUCAAAGGAAUUGACGGGGGCCCGCACAAGCGGUGGAGCAUGUGGUUUAAUUCGAAGCUACGCGAAGAACCUUACCAGGUCUUGACGAUACUAUGCAAAUCUAAGAGAUUAGACGUUCCCUUCGGGGACAUGGAUACAGGUGGUGCAUGGUUGUCGUCAGCUCGUGUCGUGAG
rnacentral:rRNA from 2 species